ensembl:lncRNA
AUGGAGAGAUUGUUUGUCAGUGAGGAGAGCGUUGAUGGAUUUCUAGGCACUGCUUUGUGCCCUUCCCCUUGCUCCCAAUCAGCCCUGGAAAGGCAGCCAUUAAUUGAAGUGCUGGAUGUUACUGAGGACAGAAUUCAAAUCAGGGUGGAGCCACAGGAACGUGAUGGACAAGGAACUCUUGGCAGCUCAGAGGGAGCCCUGGCCGGACAGACCGAGAGCAACUGCCCCGAAACAAAGGCAGAAACAAAGUGUCCUGCAGCCGAGGGAGGUGCUGCGGGCCCCGGAGCGGGAACAAUGGGAGCAGCAGCCGGCUGUGCUUCACCCCAUUGUUCGCAGCCUCAACCUCCGGCCUCCAGCUCUGCCCUUCCCGGCGGGUCUGCGGGAGCCCAGCCCGAUUUAGAAAGUGCUGCUGCAGCAGGAGGCGCGGCCACAGCCCCGGGAGCAGGGGCAGGGGAGCUGCAGGCGGGCGGGGACGGCGCUGGGGGCCCCAUCCUGAGGGAGGUGAACCCCCGGGACGGCAGCGAGCGCAUCCUGCGCGAUCACCGCACACGCUGCCCCCUGCACUUCCACAGCUCCCUGCUCUAUGAGCUGGAUUGAUUUCAUUGUUUUAGCAUUGAAUUCUCUUGUUUGAUGCUUGUUCUGACUCCCACGGGGAUGGGGCUGGGGCAGGGUGCCCCAUCCUGAGAGAGGUGAGCCCUGAGAACGGCAGCGAGCGCAUCCUGCGCGAUCAUCACACGCACUGCCCCCUGCGCUCCCACAGCUCCCUGCUCUGUCAGCUGGAUUGAUUUCAUUGUUUUAGAAUUUCCUUCCUUUUUUUGAUGCUUGUUCUGACUCCCAUGGAGAUGGGCAGGGAGCAGGAUCCCCCAUCCUGAGAGAGGUGAACCCCCAGGACGGCAGCGAGCGCAUCCUGCUUGACAAAUCAUUUUUGUCGCUGCCUUGUGCACUUCCACAGCUCCCUGCUUUAUCAGCUGGACUGAUUUCAUUGUUUUAUAAUUUCCUUCUCUUGUUUGAUGCUUGUUCUGACUCCCAUGGGGAUGGAGAUUGGGCAGGGUCCCCCAUCCUGCAGGAGGUGAGCCCCCAGGACGGCAGCGAGCGCAUCCUCCAUGAUCACCGCACACGCUGCCCCCUGCGCUUCCACAGCUCCCUGCUCUGUCAGCUGGAUUAUUUUCAUUGUUUUAGCAUUUCCUUCUCUUGUUUGAUGCUUAUUCUGACUUCCAUGUCCUGGUGGGUGACACGGAGGCCAUGGGUUCCCACUGAAACUGUUGCAACACCAAAACUUCCCAUUGUUAACAGUUUAUCAAUUCCCCAAUUUGUUGCAAUAAUUUUACUUGUAAGAAAAGUUGCAGUUGGAGGUGAGCUCCUGGGAAAAAAAUGUAUCUUUAUUGUUUACAUAAAUUUUUUAUUCUCUUCCCACGUUUCACGGAUUAUUUGUAUAUAUCCUCAGCCUAAUGGCUCCCUCGGGAAUUGAGCAGUAGUCAUCAUUUUCCAAACCUUUCAUUUUGUGAUAACUGCAGGAUUAGACUCACAGUGAUUCUUAGCAAUCAAAUGAAAUUUCUAAUUACCCGGAGAAGUUCUAAUUAGUCUCCUAGAAAUAAUCAACAUUUAUACCCUGUAUUCCAUCCUAGUGCUGUGCUUCAGAUCUGCAGCACCCAGAUAUCCCCCAGCUGAACAAAUUCCAUUGCACAAGAACAUCCUCUGGGUGCAUGUCUGCUCUGAAGUAUUUACAGCUGCUGAAAUGGAUUCUCUUUAGCCAGAUUAGAUUUAUUUUUCUCAGUUUCCCUCGAGUGUCAGCGUUUCUCACCUCCCUAAAGCAGAAUAACCAGGAGAACACAUCUAAUAAUAAACUUCCUGUUCCCCUUUCUCUCUGCUGCUGA